GAUCAUGGCUCAGGAUGAACGCUAGCUACAGGCUUAACACAUGCAAGUCGAGGGGCAGCAUGGUCUUAGCUUGCUAAGGCCGAUGGCGACCGGCGCACGGGUGAGUAACACGUAUCCAACCUGCCGUCUACUCUUGGACAGCCUUCUGAAAGGAAGAUUAAUACAAGAUGGCAUCAUGAGUCCGCAUGUUCACAUGAUUUAAAGGGUAUUCCGGUAGACGGAUGGGG
rnacentral:rRNA from 1 species